rnacentral:rRNA from 1 species
UACGUAGGGUGCGAGCGUUGUCCGGAAUUAUUGGGCGUAAAGAGCUUGUAGGCGGUUUGUCGCGUCUGCCGUGAAAAUCCGGGGCUCAACCCCGGACUUGCGGUGGGUACGGGCAGACUAGAGUGUGGUAGGGGAGACUGGAAUUCCUGGUGUAGCGGUGAAAUGCGUAGAUAUCAGGAGGAACACCAAUGGCGAAGGCAGCUUGCUGGGACGGUACUGACGCUGAGACGCGAAAGCGUGGGGAGCAAACAGG